AAAAAUGUGAUGAGCCACUUGUCUCUGGACUCCCCCAUGGGGCUUUCAGCAGCUCCUCUUCCAUCUCUGGUAGCUAUUCUCCCGGCUAUGCCAAGAUAAACAAGAGAGGAGGUGCUGGUGGAUGGUCUCCAUCAGACAGUGACCAUUAUCAAUGGCUUCAGGUUGACUUUGGCAAUCGGAAGCAGAUCAGUGCCAUUGCAACCCAAGGAAGAUAUAGCAGCUCAGAUUGGGUGACCCAAUACCGGAUGCUCUACAGCGACACAGGGAGAAAUUGGAAACCCUAUCAUCAAGAUGGGAAUAUCUGGGCGUUUCCUGGAAACAUCAACUCUGAUGGUGUGGUCCGGCACGAAUUACAGCAUCCGGUUAUCGCCCGCUAUGUGCGCGUAGUGCCUCUGGAUUGGAAUGGAGAAGGUCGCACUGGACUCAGAAUUGAAGUUUAUGGCUGUUCUUACUGGGCUGAUGUUAUCAACUUUGAUGGCCAUGUUGUAUUACCAUAUAGAUUCAGAAACAAGAAGAUGAAAACACUGAAAGAUGUCAUUGCCUUGAAAUUUAAGACGUCUGAAAGUGAAGGAGUAAUCUUGCACGGAGAAGGACAGCAAGGAGAUUACAUUACCUUGGAACUGAAAAAAGCCAAGCUGGUCCUCAGUUUAAACUUAGGAAGCAACCAGCUUGGCCCCAUAUAUGGCCACACAUCAGUGAUGACAGGAAGUUUGCUGGAUGACCACCACUGGCACUCUGUGAUCAUUGAGCGCCAGGGGCGGAGCAUUAACCUCACUCUGGACAGGAGCAUGCAGCACUUCCGCACCAAUGGAGAGUUUGACUAUCUGGACUUGGACUAUGAGAUAACCUUUGGAGGCAUCCCUUUCUCUGGCAAGCCCAGUUCCAGCAGUAGAAAGAAUUUCAAAGGCUGCAUGGAGAGCAUCAACUACAAUGGCAUCAACAUUACUGAUCUUGCCAGAAGGAAGAAAUUAGAGCCCUCAAAUGUGGGAAAUUUGAGCUUUUCUUGUGUGGAACCCUAUACGGUGCCUGUCUUUUUCAAUGCUACAAGUUACCUGGAGGUGCCCGGACGGCUUAACCAGGACCUGUUCUCAGUCAGUUUCCAGUUUAGGACAUGGAACCCCAAUGGUCUCCUGGUCUUCAGUCACUUUGCAGAUAAUUUGGGCAAUGUGGAGAUUGACCUCACUGAAAGCAAAGUGGGUGUUCACAUCAACAUCACACAGACCAAGAUGAGCCAAAUCGAUAUUUCCUCAGUAUACACUGGCAUCUUCACUGAAGUAUCUGCUAAUCUCUUUACUAGAACCUCUGUUCACAGUUUGAAGAGGUUAAUUUUGCUUCACUCAAAAUUGAAAUAUUUUCCUAUGAUGAAUCUACCUAUUCUAGCAUGUCCUUUCUUACCUGUGAUGGUAUAGAUUUUAUCCCAGCAGAACCUUACAAGUUUAUGUGAUGGGUAUUCAUUCCUUCUUCAUCAACAGGAACUCUAAUGCUGUUUCCAUUUUUAUGACCAAUCUGCUUUGACCUCCUUUCUGUUCCAGAACAAAAGGAGAGCACAGAAAGGGUGCAUAUUUUAUCAUAAUACUUCUUAAAGGCCUUGAAAUUGCAUAUUGCCUCCUAUAUGCUACCAGGGCAUAUGCUAUGAAUGGAAUUUUUACUCUUAAACAGAUCAACAACAAAAACUAUACCCAGUGUCCUGUUCCCUUAAGGCAAAAGGCAUUCUUGGCAAUCCAUCAACUCACUUUUUGCACACUCACAAAUAUUCUCUCUCAGUACUAAAGAUUUAUCAGUAUUCAACUCUGGGACAUG
rnacentral:sRNA from 1 species